UACGAGUGCCCCGAGCGUUAUCCGGAAUCAUUGGGCGUAAAGGGUGUGUAGGUGGCAGUGUUAGUCGGUUGUUAAAACCUGGGGCUCAACCCCAGACUUGCGAUCGAAACGGCACAGCUAGAGGAUGGCAGGGAUGUAUGGAACUCAUGGAGUAGGGGUGAAAUCCGUUGAUAUCAUGGGGAACACCAAAAGCGAAGGCAGUACAUUGGGCCACUCCUGACACUGAAACACGAAAGCGUGGGUAGCGAAUGGG
rnacentral:rRNA from 1 species